ACGGGAGGCAGCAGUGAGGAAUAUUGGUCAAUGGGCGGGAGCCUGAACCAGCCAAGUAGCGUGGAGGAUGACGGCCCUACGGGUUGUAAACUCCUUUUGCCGGGGGAUAAAAAACGGGACGUGUCCCGUCUUGCAGGUACCCGCGCGAAUAAGGACCGGCUAAUUCCGUGCCAGCAGCCGCGGUAAUACGGAAGGUCCGAGCGUUAUCCGGAUUUAUUGGGUUUAAAGGGAGCGCAGGCGGAGAGGCAAGCCAGCCGUAAAAUCGUUGAGCUCAACUCAAUCUCGCGGUUGGAACUGCUUCCCUUGAGUGCACGAGAGGAUGGUGGAAUUCGUGGUGUAGCGGUGAAAUGCGUAGAUAUUAGGAGGAACACCAGUGGCGAAGGCGGCUUACUGGACUGUAACUGACGUUGAGGCUCGAAAGCGUGGGGAGCAAACAGGAUUAGAUACCCUGGUA
rnacentral:rRNA from 1 species